UACGGGGGGGGGCAAGCGUUGUUCGGAAUCAUUGGGCGUAAAGGGCGCGUAGGCGGCCGAUCAAGUCGGAGGUGAAAUCCCUCGGCUCAACUGAGGAACUGCCUUCGAUACUGUUCGGCUUGAGUCCUGGAGAGGGUAGCGGAAUUCCCGGUGUAGCGGUGAAAUGCGUAGAGACCGGGAAGAACACCAGUGGCGAAGGCGGCUACCUGGACAGGUACUGACGCUGAAGCGCGAAAGCUAGGGAGCAAACAGGAU
rnacentral:rRNA from 1 species